rnacentral:lncRNA from 1 species
UACUUUGAUCUAACUUCUAUUCCUAAUAAAUAAUCCAGCUGCAUACAGUUUACUCAAUUUCUGCCAUGUGUAAGGAGCUGUUCUCAAAACAUUGGGUGACAAAGAAUUCACUUUUACAAAAAUCGAGCAGGAUAUUAAAGACAGUGAACUGUAGAACAAAUAUGGCGAAGCUGCAUGAAGUCUAUGUUGAAUUUUAUUAUUGAAAAAAAUAUGCUCUUCAGAUUUAAUGUUAGUUUUUAUUGUUUAACAGUAAUUGCAGUUUUCGAAUACCUGUAAAAUAAACCUAAUUCUUAAAUUAA